rnacentral:tRNA from 1 species
GGGACGGUGACUGAGUUGGUUAAGGUGACAGAUUGUAAAUCUGUUGGUGUUGUGCCAUCAUGGGUUCGAGUCCCAUCCUUCCCA